GACGAACGCUGGCGGCGUGCUUAACACAUGCAAGUCGAACGGAAAGGCCCCUUUGGGGGUACUCGAGUGGCGAACGGGUGAGUAACACGUGAGUAACCUGCCCUUGACUUCGGGAUAACUUCAGGAAACUGGGGCUAAUACCGGAUAGGAAUCCUUGCUGCAUGGUGGGGGUUGGAAAGCUUCGGCGGUUUUGGAUGGACUCACGGCUUAUCAGCUUGUUGGUGGGGUAGUGGCUUACCAAGGCUUUGACGGGUAGCCGGCCUGAGAGGGCGACCGGCCACAUUGGGACUGAGAUACGGCCCAGACUCCUACGGGAGGCAGCAGUGGGGAAGAUUGCACAAUGGGCGGAAGCCUGAUGCAGCAACGCCGCGUGCGGGAUGACGGCCUUCGGGUUGUAAACCGCUUUCAGCAGGGGCGAAGCUUGUGGUGACGGUACCUGCAGAAGAAGCACCGGCUAACUACGUG
rnacentral:rRNA from 1 species